GGGCCGUGCCGGUGCCGGGGCGGGGCCGGCUCCCGGCCCGUGCCGCUGUCCGGUGCCCGCCAUGGCUCUGUGCUGCGCGCCGCGGCCGCCGCUCGCCCUGCUCCGCCUGCCCGCUGGGCAUCGCAGCCUGGUGACAGCCACAGGGGCACCGCGGCACGGGAAGAAAAAGGCCAGGGUGAGCCGCAGCCUGCCAGAGCCUUCCUGGGAGGAGAGGUUAGCAAAUGCAGUGACACCACUGUGGAGACUUUCCUACCAAGAGCAGCUACAGGUAAAGUAUGAAAGCCAGAAGAAGAUUUUGCAGACACUGGCAUCUCGUCUUGAGGAGCUGGGCAUAGAUGCACAGAAACCUGGUGGGCUCUGCUGUCCUCUGCAGCCUGUAGUCCCUUCGCCCAUCAUUAGUGGCUACCGAAACAAAUCAACGUUCUCAGUGAACCGAGGACCAGAUGGGAACCCCAAAACUGUGGGGAUGUAUGUAGGAACUGGCAGAGAAAGAAAUAUUGUCUGUGUGAAAGCCAACCAUGUGGAGAACAUACCCUCAAAACACAAACAAGUAGCCCAGUGCUAUGAGGAGUUCAUCUGUCAGUCCCCUCUGGACUCGUGCAUCCUCUUCCAUGAAGGUGGACACUGGCGGGAGCUCGUGGUUCGUACCACUCGCUGUGGCCACACUAUGGCUAUCAUCACCUUCCACCCCCAGCAGCUGGGCCAGGAGGCACUGGCUACUCAGAAAGCAUUACUGAAGGAGUUCUUCACAUGUGGGCCUGGAGCAGUCUGUGCCUUGACAUCACUUUAUUUCCAAGAGAGCACCAUGACACGUUGCUCCCACGAGCAGUCCCCGUACCAGCUCCUCCACGGAGCACCGCACAUCUUUGAAGAGCUGCACGGCCUGAAGUUCCGCAUCUCUCCAGACGCCUUCUUCCAAGUCAACACAGCUGGAGCAGAAGUUCUGUACCAGGCAGUUGGGGAGCUCUGCCAGGCUACUGGGGACACUGUCCUCCUUGACAUCUGCUGUGGAACAGGCACAAUUGGUCUCUCUCUGGCUCACCAAGUGUCCAAAGUUAUUGGUGUUGAGGUGGUGGAGAAGGCAAUAGAGGACGCUGAGUGGAAUGCAGCAUUCAAUGGGAUCUCAAACUGUGAGUUUCACAGUGGAAAGGCAGAGGCUGUGUUACCACAGCUCUUGGCAUUGUGGGAGGAUGCCCGACCGCUUGUUGCUGUGGUGAACCCUUCUCGGGCUGGCCUACGUGGCAUAACACAGCCCUCAAACUGUCUCAGUGGUCUCCCCUGGAGUGUGUAGUGGGAAGUCACACACUGGUCCUGGUGCCCAGAUGCACUCUCACAAGUGUGUGGAAGGUUUCAUAUGCCUUUGCUUAAUUAACAUUUAUUCUGUCAUCCUCCAUCCUCCUGGGAAGCAGAGGGAUUUCCCCAUUGCUCUGCCCUGCCUGCCAAAUUGGCUAAGCUCUCAGCAGUGUGGGUCGUACCCGUGGCCUCCUGAGGGACUCCAUCUGAGACAGAACAUAGCAAAAUAUGCAUUUUUGACAGUUGUGAUGAUAUGCAAUUAUUUCCUUCUGGAGAUGUCAGGGUGGUGGUGGGAAAGCAGGCUGUCUGUUUUUGCAGAUCACAGGGUUGUACGGGCCAUCCGGAACUGCAGGUCCAUCCGCAGGCUGCUCUACAUCUCCUGCAAGCCAGAGGGUGAAGCCAUGAGGAACUUCCUCGAGCUGUGCUGCCCACCUGACCCACAG